rnacentral:rRNA from 1 species
UACCAUAUGCUUGUCUCAAAGAUUAAGCCAUGCAUGUCUAAGUAUAAGCAUUUAUACAGCGAAACUGCGUACAGCUCAUUACAUCAGUUAUUAUUUCUUUGAAGAUGUUUUACUAUAUGGAUACCCGUAGUAAUUCUAGAGCUAAUACAUGCGUUGAUCAUUAUGUUGUAUAAUGUAAUGAGAGUUUAUUAGAUCUUUACCUAAAUUUCAGGUGAUUCAUAGUAACCAAUCGAAUGCUUAUUUAUGAUAAGCAUGGUUCAUUCAAAUUUCUGCCCUAUCAGCUUUGUUGGUAGUGUCGUGGACUACCAAGGCGGUGACGGGUGACGGGGGAUUAUGGUUCGAUUCCGGAGAGGCAGCCUGAGAAACGGCUACCAUUUCUAAGGAAAGCAGCAGGCGCGCAAAUUACCCAAUGCUAAUUCAGCGAGGUAGUGACAAGAAAUGACGAUGUUUUGCUAUGUAAAUGGUAAGACAAUCGUGAUGAAAGGUGUUUAAAUCUUGCUUAUGAAUGCAACU